UAAUACGAAGGGUGCAAGCGUUGUUCGGAUUUAUUGGGCGUAAAGCGUGCGCAGGCGGGUUCGCAAGUCAGGUGUGAAAUCUCGAGGCUUAACCUCGAAAUUGCGCCUGAAACUGCAAGUCUAGAAUGUCGGAGAGGGAAGGGGAAUAUCUCAUGUAGGGGUAAAAUCCGUAGAUAUGAGAUGGAACACCAGAGGCGAAGGCGCCUUCCUGGACGAUUAUUGACGCUGAGGCACGAAAGCGUGGGGAGCAAACAGG
rnacentral:rRNA from 1 species